rnacentral:rRNA from 1 species
UACGAAGGGGGCUAGCGUUGCUCGGAAUCACUGGGCGUAAGGGGUGCGUAGGCGGGUCUUUAAGUCAGGGGUGAAAUCCUGGAGCUCAACUCCAGAACUGCCUUUGAUACUGAAGAUCUUGAGUUCGGGAGAGGUGAGUGGAACUGCGAGUGUAGAGGUGAAAUUCGUAGAUAUUCGCAAGAACACCAAUAGCGAAGGCAGCUCGCUGGGACGUUACUGACACUGAGGCGCGAAAGCGUGGGGAGCGAACAGG